CAAGAAGUACUUCUCUAUCUACUCUCCUAAUCUUCUUCUCUUCUCUGUGUUCUAUAAGAAUCCUAAAGGCCCAUCCAGCAUGAACUUCCGUUAGUGUUGUGAAUUGGUGAGAGUGUAGGCAAAGACACAGCCAUUCGUACUAAACCUGCCCACGAAAAUGUAUACAACACACAUAAGUAUGAGUCGAUGUUGUUAAGGACUCAUUCUUUCUUUGGACUAAUCUACCUUUGUGGAAUCGCUACAUCUCCAGAAAUGUGCUUCUAUGGGAGACUUAGGGUGAACUUCAACAGGAUUCAUUAAUGGGAAAAAGAGUGGAAACAGACAUUGAAAGAUUCUUUUAGCUAACUGUUUUUUAUUAACACGUUCGUGUUUUCAUACAGAAAGAAUUAACUAACUUUCAUAUGUAUAAUUCAACAAAAAUAAGUAUGAUACCAA
rnacentral:sRNA from 1 species